rnacentral:rRNA from 1 species
GACGAACGCUGGCGGCGUGCUUAACACAUGCAAGUCGAACGGGAAGGCCUGCUUUCCCUUGUGGAUUGCGGGUACUCGAGUGGCGAACGGGUGAGUAACACGUGAGUUAUCUGCCCCCAACUUGGGUAUAAGCCUGGGAAACUGGGUCUAAUUCCCGAUAGGACUGCAGGGUGGUGCCUGUGGUGGAAAACGAUUUUCUAGUGGUUGGGGAUGAGCUCGCGGCCUAUCAGCUUGUUGGUGGGGUAAUGGCCUACCAAGGCGGCGACGGGUAGCCGGCCUGGGAGGGUGGACGGCCACAUUGGGACUGGGAUACGGCCCAGACUCCUACGGGAGGCAGCAGUGGGGAGUAUUGCACAAUGGGCGGAAGCCUGAUGCAGCGACGCCGCGUGGGGGAUGACGGGCUUCGGGUUGUAAACUCCUUUCGACCGCGAGGAAGCCACCUGGUUGGAAGGGUGGUGACGGUAGUGGUAGAAGAAGCACCGGCUAACUACGUG